rnacentral:rRNA from 1 species
UACAGAGGUCUCAAGCGUUGUUCGGAUUUAUUGGGCGUAAAGGGUGCGUAGGUGGCGCGUUAAGUCAGGUGUGAAAUUUCGGAGCUUAACUUCGAAACUGCAUUUGAUACUGGCGUGCUUGAGUACUGGAGAGGAGACUGGAAUUCAUGGUGUAGCAGUGAAAUGCGUAGAGAUCAUGAGGAAGACCAGUGGCGAAGGCGGGUCUCUGGACAGUACCUGACGCUGAGGCACGAAGGCCAGGGGAGCAAACAGG